AGGACGAACGCUGGCGGCGUGCUUAACACAUGCAAGUCGAGCGGAAAGGCCUUUCGGGGUACUCGAGCGGCGAACGGGUGAGUAACACGUGAGUAAUCUGCCCAUCGCUUCAGGAUAGCCAUCGGAAACGGUGAUUAAUACUGGAUAUGACAUUCCUUCGCAUGUUGGGGUGUGGAAAGUUUUUUCGGCGGUGGAUGUGCUCGCGGCCUAUCAGCUUGUUGGUGGGGUAAUGGCCUACCAAGGCUUUGACGGGUAGCCGGCCUGAGAGGGUGACCGGCCACACUGGGACUGAGACACGGCCCAGACUCCUACGGGAGGCAGCAGUGGGGAAUAUUGGACAAUGGGCGCAAGCCUGAUGCAGCAACGCCGCGUGGGGACGAAGGCCUUCGGGUGUAAACCUCUUUAGUAGGAAGAAGCGAAAGUGACGGUACCGUGCAGAAAAAGCAACCGGCUAACUACGUGCCAGCAGCCGC
rnacentral:rRNA from 1 species